GGCCGUUCGGGAGGCGGACUCCAUGAUCCUGGUGGGUGCUUUCCAGCACAGACUGUUCUGUGAUUUUGUGAGAUUCCAGCCUUUCUGUGACCACCCGACCAGCACAUUUGUGAAGAGCUGCCUUUUGUAGCAACUGCAAUAAUGUAGUUGAAGGACAUCAGCCGUGUUAACUUCUUUGUUAAAUGCCCCAGAACGUGAUUUCCCUGUUCUGCAAUGCUGCCACACAGUUGAGCAGUGCAUCCCUGCCUCGUAAGGGGGGAAUAAGGAAGCGCAGCAAGCCCGGCACAGCUGCGAGUGCAGCUGGACGCCAAGGCACACCAAGCUGCCGGCUGCUCUCGGCAGAGGCAGCAGUCCCACGGCGGAGCAUGAAAUUCUAGAAGAGUCGUCACUGUAGCCGUCAGGAAACCUCACGCAGCUCCCGCGGGAAUCGUUUCCUCCAGCCCUGCCGCUGGAAAGAGACUGUUUUCCCUUGGUCCCUGCCAGCGCGGGUGCAUGACCCUCCCUCGCACGAAUCCUCUCUGACGUGUGUCCUUGGUCCCCUUCCAGGCGGGCCGUGACCUGGCGCUCGGUCCCACAGCUGUGCGCCAGAUCCGACCCAGCCUUCCCGCGGGGCCGGCCCGCCCGUGCCCUCUGGGUGACCGCAGCCGCCACUUGUGCUCAAGUCCAAAGGCUUCACUGCCACGAAGGGCACUUUCAAAGCUCCCUGCACUGUAUUUACUCACCUUGAAUCUCUGCUGUUUGUGUCGAGCUACCUCAGUGCCAGAGAGGAACGAAAUGUUUUUGAACUCCCACACAAACAGUUUCAUAUAUAGACUGUAAACAGAUGUUUUUAUAGCCUUUUCCUGCACACCACACAGAGCCUUUUCCCUUUCUCUAAUUUAGGGAUUUCUCAUUUCUGCAAACUUUUUCAUUACUGUCUAUUCUUCUAUCCCACUUCACACUGAACAGAAGUACCAAGUACACCUAACCCCACACUCAUCUUUCCUUUAAAGGGGUUCUCAGGAAGGUCUUCUGUAGCUUCUCCAGACAGCCUAACCAAAAGCAGAACGGGAAGCAGUGGUUGCUUUUGUGAAUUAGGGUCCCACCACAGAUGUGAACAAAUCUCUUAAUUGCUGUGGCCCAAACCUAUCAAUGCAAAAAAUAACAGGCACAGCACCAAAGGACUCACACUAGAGGGAGGCGGGCAUGUAAACAAUAUAUAAACAAUUUUAACUAAACUAAAACUGUUUUUACAAAGCUUCAGCCUAAAAGCUGUUCUAUCACAAACACAGACCGAGCCUGUAGCAAAACAGCAGUGUGAUUUUGGUCACUAAUCACUUUGCAGCUCCCCCGGUAUAUAUACACACAAACAUUCCAGUCAAAAUUGGAGCAAGAAAGGACUCAGAGUGCAGACUUGGAACACAAGGGCUGCUCCAGGGUUUGCUCUCAUUGGAGUGGGGGAGCAGGCUGUUGAACAACAUGCAUCACACAAUUGAAGCAGGUCUCUUCUGCUUUCUCAGAAACACUUGUCUUAUCUUUUCCCAAGAUCCUUUUUAAGAAAGCAGUUUUGGCAGCAUGACAGUAAAUUAAUGCCUCAUUCUACUGUUAGAGUGAGGUUGCUGCUAAAAAAAAGCAUGAAAUUUAGAAAACACAUCACUAUGUGAACAAGGAAGAAAUUACAACAUAACAAAUUAUAACAUCACAUUGUGAAUUUAAAUCAGUGUAAAAGCUUUUCUAAAACUGGAUUCUCUGAGGCAGUGGCAUUUGUAGGAUUUUCAAGACAAUGUGAACACAAGACAGCAUUCAAAUAACCUGCACAAAGGAAUUUCUCCCCAGCUCCAAUCUGGAGUGCAUCAGUUUGCACUAAACCAGCACCAGAGGCACUGUAAGCAAAUUACCUACAAGGCUGCAAAAAGCCAUCAGAGGAGGGGAAAGGCCUGGCUCUUCCUGCGUGUGUCAUCACUGAAGGUGUUGUGUCUGUGUCGGGGGAAGGACCAGACACUCCAGCUCCCAGUGGAGUUGCUUUAAGGGCAGUACAGCACAGGUCAGGUGCUGGCACUCAGGCCUGAACAGUUCCGUGUGCUUCCUGCACCACAAAAAGCUGUCCGUCAGCAGGGCUGCUGGAAAGCACAAACAAAAGGGUGUUUGGGCAGGAUUCACUGCACCCCACGCUGUGAGCCCCACCUCUGCUUUACAGUAAAAACUGUCAGAGGUGAGCAGGGACAGAAGAUGCCGGAGAGGAAAAGCGGGUCUGUCCUGCAGAGCAUCAGGUGGAGCUCAGAGAUGUAAUCCUGGCCAGCAGGAGUGCACGGGAGCGCCUGACCCACAUUCCUUAAGUCCUUCUACCUUUAACACCUCAGGGGACAAAAUUCCCCUUCAUCACGCCUGUGACACCAUUGUUACUGGAGUUGUCUUUAGCAGACCAGCAGGAGGUGGCUGGAACUCUGCAGCGUCAUUUCCUAUCCUGUGUCUCUCCCCUUUGUUUUCUAAGCUUCCUUCACAUGCCAUCUGAGUGGCAUGGCCUGUAGUAUACUGAAAGCCUGAUAAUAAGACAGAUGACAUCUGUUUAGGUCGCAUAUUUGAAAGGAUUAAUGCUCCCAAAGACUUACAAGCUACAGCUUAGUACUCUGCUAUCUGAACACUUUGGCCCUGGUACAUGUGAUGGCUGUCAGCUCAAGGCUCAGCAUUCUAGAGCUCGAGAAAGAUGGAAGCAGGGCAUCCAAGUGACCAUGGCAAAGGAUAUGCACCAUUCCUUCACAGAUGCAGUAAAAGCCACAAGCAACUGUGUGCCAGCUCUGGUGAAACAGUUCCAGGAGAAAGAAACAACUUCAUGGCACUGGUUUUGCCUCUGGCAGGGUGCUGCCCCACAGAAAAUGGACCCGCUCAUUCUAGCUGGCAGAGGUGAAAAGGGAGCACAACCAUUUUUAUACAAGGCAGAACUGCUGUCCGCAAGUUGCUUUCUGAGCAAGAAAAGGAAGAAAAUUCUCACUAAUCCACAUCACCCACAAAGCUCACCCAUUUCUUUCCCUUUAAAACCACACGGCUCUGUAUAAUUGCUCUACAAUUCUAAACUGUAGAGGGGCAGGGGAGUGGGAUGACCUAGACUAUACCAUCAACAGAAAACACCACAGCUCCCUUCCUCAGCAGGCCUGAGGGACUUGCAGGACACACAGGACUUGUGGACAGGCAGUACUUGCAGACACGAGCAGCUCAGGGCUCUGCACACAGGCUCACAGGCAUUAGAUUCCCUUUUUGACAAGGGUCAGCUGGAUCUUGUGGCCUGUGUAAUAACAAUGCUUUGGGAGGAAACUGAAUAGAACAUUGUAUUCUUCAUUUCAGACCCAUAGUUCUGAAUGGUGGGAAAAGAAAUAAAAUUUAGAAAUCAAUCCUAGACCCUAAAGUCCCUUUAAGGGGAAAGACUCAGAGACUGAUGCAGCAAGUUCCACUAGGUUAUUUAACUGGUAACAUGAGAGUUGAUUAGAAUUAUUUAUUUCCAAGUCAUAAACCCAAGUCAUAAACAUGCUGCCUCUCCCUCUUGCCAAUUAACAGUAUUACUUAGCACUAAUAAACUGCUUUCAUUUUCAAGAGGCUUAAGAAAACAAAUUAAUCACCUCAACAUGUCUGAAAGGAACAGAUGGCGAUGAAGUAUUAACAUUGCAAUUUCUCAGUUGGAAAAGCUCCUAGGAGAGGGGGCAGUAGCAGUGUCUGGAGGACGCCUAGCCCUGUUCCCUCUGUGGAGCUGGGGCCCCUCGAUCUCACCUCUACUCUCAGCUUCUGCUUUAACCUAAUCUCACCACACAUUAUUUUUCCUACAGCAAAGCUACAUUUUUCCUUUUUCAUUCUUUAAUAGUGAGUUACAUUUUUCUAGAAGGCCUCUUACCUUAGCACAUCUCCAGACAAGUCAUUACUGCUUUGGAUUUAAAAGACUAAAUGUCUAUCCAAUAAUGCAAUUAGUCCAGCCUGUCAUUAUUCUUACUGGCUAUUAGCAGAGUAAGCUUUGCUCUGUCCGUACAGUGGAGGUGCUAUUUUCCCUGGAACAUCUUGGUUACAUUUCAGUACGAAACAGCUGACUGCCUUUUCCUCUUCUCACUCUCUUCUCAGCCCCUGUCUGAGGAUUGUGCAAAAGUGGGGCCUUUGUUGUUGCUCUGUGGGGCCUUUCGGCUCAGCUGUACAACACGAACUUUUUAAAGCUCCAUCUGGAAGGAAGAUAGGCUUCCUGUGGAACAGGGGUUCCUAAAGCAAAACAUACUCAGUUUUUCCAGGGGGUGGCUCCUCGUUACUUUUCUCAGCUGCCUCAGCAGGCUCUGUCUGGAACUGUUCUAUUUGAAACUCGAGAUGUUUUUGAAUGGCUACCCCGAGGACUUCUGGAUCCACAGAUGCCCCAUACACU